AAGAUGGCGACCGGCGCACGGGUGAGUAACACGUAUCCAACCUGCCGAUAACUCCGGAAUAGCCUUUCGAAAGAAAGAUUAAUACCGGAUAGUAUACGAAUAUCGCAUGAUAUUUUUAUUAAAGAAUUUCGGUUAUCGAUGAGGAUGCGUUCCAUUAGUUUGUUGGCGGGGUAACGGCCCACCAAGACUACGAUGGAUAGGGGUUCUGAGAGGAAGGUCCCCCACAUUGGAACUGAGACACGGUCCAA
rnacentral:rRNA from 1 species